rnacentral:rRNA from 1 species
GACGUAGGAGGCGAGCGUUAUCCGGAUUCACUGGGCGUAAAGCGCAUGUAGGCGGUUUGACAAGUCGUGUGUUAAAGCCCCUGGCUCAACUGGGGGAGGUCAUGCGAGACUGUGCGACUUGAGGGCAAGAGAGGCACGUGGAACUCCCGGUGUAGCGGUGGAAUGCGUAGAGAUCGGGAAGAACACCAGUGGCGAAGGCGACGUGCUGGGUUGCACCUGACGCUGAGAUGCGAAAGUGUGGGGAGCAAACGGG